rnacentral:tRNA from 1 species
AGAUAGUUGAGUUGUAGAAGUACCAGACUUCAGUGUGGAAAGUCCCUGGUUCAAUUCCC